AACGAACGCUGGCGGCGUGCCUAACACAUGCAAGUCGAACGAGAAGUACGUAGCAAUACGUAUUGUAAAGUGGCGCACGGGUGAGUAACACGUGGGUAAUCUGCCCUUGAGUUUGGGAUAACCCCGCGAAAGCGGGGCUAAUACCGAAUAAGACCACGGGGACCAAAGUCCCUGAGGUAAAAGGUGGCCUCUAUUUAUAAGCUACCACUUGAGGAUGAGCCCGCGGCCCAUUAGCUAGUUGGCAGGGUAACGGCCUACCAAGGCGAUGAUGGGUAGCUGGUCUGAGAGGACGAUCAGCCACACUGGAACUGAGACACGGUCCAGACUCCUACGGGAGGCAGCAGUGGGGAAUAUUGCGCAAUGGGCGAAAGCCUGACGCAGCAACGCCGCGUGGGGGAUGAAGGUUCUCGGAUUGUAAACCCCUUUCGAUCGGAACGAAUCCCCUCCUGGUAAAUAAUCAGGAGGAUCGACGGUACCGGGAGAAGAAGCCACGGCUAACUCUGUGCCAGCAGCCGCCGUAAGAC
rnacentral:rRNA from 1 species